rnacentral:rRNA from 1 species
GACGAACGCUGGCGGCGUGCUUAACACAUGCAAGUCGAACGGAAAGGCCCUGCUUGCAGGGUGCUCGAGUGGCGAACGGGUGAGUAACACGUGGGUGAUCUGCCCCUUACUUUGGGAUAAGCCUGGGAAACUGGGUCUAAUACUGGAUAGGACCAUGCUGUCGGUGGUGUGGUGGAAAGAUUAGUUUCGGUAAGGGAUGAGCUCGCGGCCUAUCAGCUUGUUGGUGGGGUAAUGGCCUACCAAGGCGUCGACGGGUAGCCGGCCUGAGAGGGUGGACGGCCACAUUGGGACUGAGAUACGGCCCAGACUCCUACGGGAGGCAGCAGUGGGGAAUAUUGCACAAUGGGCGCAAGCCUGAUGCAGCGACGCCGCGUGGGGGGUGACGGCCUUCGGGUUGUAAACUCCUUUCAGCCAUGACGAAGCCCUUGUGGUGACGGUAGUGGUAGAAGAAGCACCGGCUAACUACGUG